rnacentral:rRNA from 1 species
AUGAACGCUGGCGGCGUGCCUAAUACCUGCAAGUCGAGCGAACAGACGAGGAGCUUGCUCCUCUGACGUUAGCGGCGGACGGAUGAGUAACACGUGGAUAACCUACCUAUAAGACUGGGAUAACUUCGGGAAACCGGAGCUAAUACCGGAUAAUAUAUUGAACCGCAUGGUUCAAUAGUGAAAGACGGUUUUGCUGUCACUUAUAGAUGGAUCCGCGCCGCAUUAGCUAGUUGGUAAGGUAACGGCUUACCAAGGCAACGAUGCGUAGCCGACCUGAGAGGGUGAUCGGCCACACUGGAACUGAGACACGGUCCAGACUCCUACGGGAGGCAGCAGUAGGGAAUCUUCAGCAAUGGGCGAAAGCCUGACGGAGCAACGAAGCGUGAGUGAUGAAGGUCUUCGGAUCGUAAAACUCUGUUAUUAGGGAAGAACAAAUGUGUAAGUAACUAUGCACGUCUUGACGGUACCUAAUCAGAAAGCCACGGCUAACUACGUG